GAACGGAGAUCUUGAAUAGCUUGCUAAUUAAGAUCUUAGUGGCGGACGGGUUAGUAACACGUGAGAACCUACCCUUUAGACAGGAAUAGCCCAUGGAAACGUGGAUUAAUGCCUGAUAGUCUCUACGGAGUAAAUGGUGCCUUCGGGUAUCGCUAGAGGAUGGGCUCGCGGCCUAUCAGCUUGUUGGCGAGGUAAAGGCUCACCAAGGCGACGACGGGUAGCUGGUCUGAGAGGACGAUCAGCAACACUGGAACUGAGACACGGUCCAGACACCUACGGGUGGCAGCAGUCGAGAAUCAUUCACAAUGGAGGCAACUCUGAUGGUGCAACGCCGCGUGGAGGAUGACGGUCCUAGGAUUGUAAACUCCUGUCAUUGGGGAGUAAGACUUAAGCGUUAAGAGCGUUUAAGUUUGAUAGUACCCAAAGAGGAAGGGACGGCUAACU
rnacentral:rRNA from 1 species